UACGAGGGGUGCAAGCGUUGCUCGGAAUUAUUGGGCGUAAGGGUAGGUAGGUGGUCUCAUUUGUCUGGGGUGAAAGCCUUGAGCUUAACUCAAGAAGUGCCCCAGAAACGGUGAGACUAGAGUCCUGGAGAGGGUCGUGGAAUUCCCGGUGUAGCGGUGAAAUGCGUAGAGAUCGGGAGGAACACCAGCGGCGAGGCGGCGACCUGGACAGGUACUGACACUCAACUACGAAAGCGUGGGGAGCAACA
rnacentral:rRNA from 1 species